rnacentral:rRNA from 1 species
AUGGUACUUCUGCUUAUCACCCUUUCCAGCCCAGAAGAAUCUGGAUUGGUACUUGGCGAUUUCCUGAUGAAGCGUCUCAUGAAGGCUGUAGAAGCUCAUGAGGAACCAAAGAAGGCUGGCAAGCGAGGAGUUAAUAUUGAGGAUCACGCGAGCAGCCUUCGACAGCCAGCGCCCUUUCCAGGGCUCAACCCGAUGUUGCAUCUGGGUCACCGUAAGCAAAGAUGGCUUCAUUUAGUAUUAACUUGUAGACUCAUCCUUUCUCGAGAAACGCUAUGUUACAGUAAGCAAAAUUUUCUUGGAAUGCGCUAUGUUUCUACCUAA